rnacentral:rRNA from 1 species
CAGCGAUGCCGCGUGAGUGAAGAAGGCCUUCGGGUUGUAAAGCCCUUUUGUUCGGGACGAAAUCGUACGGGUGAAUAUCCCGUGCGGAUGACGGUACCGAAAGAAUAAGCACCGGCUAACUUCGUGCCAGCAGCCGCGGUAAUACGAAGGGUGCAAGCGUUACUCGGAAUUACUGGGCGUAAAGCGUGCGUAGGCGGUUUGUUAAGUCCGCUGUGAAAGCCCUGGGCUCAACCUGGGAAUUGCAGUGGAUACUGGCAAGCUAGAGUGCGGUAGAGGAUGGUGGAAUUCCCGGUGUAGCGGUGAAAUGCGUAGAGAUUCGGGAGGAACACCCGUGGCGAAGGCGGCCAUCUGACCAGCACUGACGCUGAGCCCGAA